UACGUAGGGGGCAAGCGUUGUCCGGAAUCAUUGGGCGUAAAGCGCGUGUAGGCGGCCCGGUAAGUCCGCUGUGAAAGUCCAGGGCUCAACCCUGGAAUGCCGGUGGAUACUGUCGGGCUCGAGUCCGGAAGAGGCGAGUGGAAUUCCUGGUGUAGCGGUGAAAUGCGCAGAUAUCAGGAGGAACACCAAUGGCGAAGGCAGCUCGCUGGGACGGUACUGACGCUGAGACGCGAAAGCCAGGGGAGCAAACAGG
rnacentral:rRNA from 1 species